UACAGAGGUGCCGAGCGUUAGGCGGAAUCACUGGGCUUAAAGCGCGUGUAGGUGGAUCGUUAAGUGUCUUGUGAAAUCCCACGGCUCAACCGUGGAACUGCUGGGCAUACUGACGAUCUUGAGGCACUCAGGGGCUGUCGGAACAAAUGGUGGAGCGGUGAAAUGCGUAGAUAUCAUUUGGAACGCCAAUGGUGAAAACAGACAGCUGGGGGUGUCCUGACACUGAGACGCGAAAGCCAGGGGAGCAAACGGGAGUUAGA
rnacentral:rRNA from 1 species